CUCUAGCAGGACACGUGUCUCCUCCCCCUUCUGGCGGAGUGCGGAGGGGGCGGGAGCUGUGGAAUGUCUUUGUCUUGCGCGCGAGCUCGCGGAGUGUGGGGCCGGAGACCUGUUACGUGCAGGGCCCUUCUCUCAAGAAGCCAAGGAGAAACAUAAAAACUCAAAUGUGCCCUGAACCAGUCUCAACCCCUGAGUCAAGGAAUGCAGAAGGUAAGGAGUCACCAUGGUAACAACAGCGUCAGGUGUGUAGAGAAACUUCAGAACACCAGCAUUCCCAUCAGAGGCCCUGCUGCCGCUGAUCAUGAAACCCCGUCAUCACUUAAAUCGCUUUAUUUUAAAGGCACUAGCACCAGACUGAAGGUAGACAUUUGAGAACCAUUGACAUGGUUUACUGUCCUGUAUUCCUUGGAGAUGGUGUUGUGGCCUCUGUUUGGAUACCUCUGGCAGCUGGGGUGCUGACUACCUUACCUCUUUGGAUCAUGCAAGCUGGAUCAUGUUACCUUUUCUCAUCACCCCUCUCUUGCCUGCCCUUCCUCAGGCUGGUUAAUGUCCCUCCUAUGUGCUCCUGUGUCUCCCCUGCGGUUACCACUUUUGGAGUACUUAUCUCAUGGUGUUGUAAUCGCCAGCUGACACAUCCCUCAACAGCAAGAUUGCCAGCUUCUUCAGGGCAAGGUCUCUAUCUGUUCACUGUUGUUGGAUUCUCAGGCCCGUCACAUGGCAGAAGCUCAUCAGUAAUUAUUGACUGAAGAAACGAACUUUUACCCACCAGACUAAUGAAAUAAUAAUCAUGAAAAUAACACUUAUUUAAUAUGUACUGUACCGUCAGCACUUUAUAUGCUUUUUGAUCAGCAACAGGUUUUUAUGUCAAGGCAUUCGGGAUAAAAUGAAAAUGGGAAACUUAAGUCUUGAGGAACCAGAGAAUGCUGUGAACUGAAGCCAGCAGGCAGGGCAGCGCCAGAGGUUAAAGUACUGGCUGGAGUCAGCAGCUGAUUCUCAGUACCGCCUGGAGCAGAUCCCCACGCUCUCUAGCCUCAGUUGCUCCACCUUUGGUGAGAUAAAAUGAGGAAGUUGAGACAAGUUUCUGAAAGCUUGCUCUACCUGCCAGUUCCUAAAGUUUUCUUUCAGGAUUUCUGACUGGAAUCCGGUUACACCUGACGGCUGUGGAGAUGGGGAUCCUGAUAGCUGGCCGCGGGAAGGAUCCUGAAGGAGGCCUCGGCCUUCCAGGGCACUCAGGCCACAGCCAGGAAUCAGCCUCGUGCACCCACCCCCCCCGAGCGAGCCUUGAAGUUUCUCGGGAUUCACAGCUUCUCCGCCUCCCGGUUGCCUCUCCACCCGCCACCCCCACCCUCAUCCCCUGGCCCCAACAGCACGCAGGGAAGUUCUUCGGUCGCAGGCAGCUGCUGAGAGCAAACUGCCGGGGUCUGUGCAUGACUCCGGGGCUUCCCGCAGAAGAAGAUCGGCCAGGGAGGUUCCUGCAGCCGGCGGUAAUCGGCGCCCUGCCCCUUUGCCUCCGCCCCAGUAUAAGACGGUUGUAAAAUUCCGGAAAGAGAUUAGAGGCAGGGGAUGGGUGGGGUGGUGAAUCAGUACAUUCCUUCCUCCCCCUGCCUCCUCCUCCCCCGUUAUCACUUUGGGAGGGUUGGGUCCUCUCAUGGCCUUCUGACCGGUCCACUGGCAGGGUCCCGACAAGCUAAGCAGUGCUGGGCUGGAACCUCCCAAUCUCAGCUGAAUUUGUAGGGGCUAGAUCGCUUAUUUUGCAGCUCAUGACCCCAUUUGGUUUCAGGUUGGGAAUUUUGGUCGUUCCUUCCAGUUCGGCCUUUUCCAUCAGAGCAGUUCAUAGGCCUACGUGUGCAAUUCUUAGUAGCACCCAUUUACUGAGUAAGCUCCUACUCUGUGGCAGGGUCUGUGCUGGGUCAGUCAGUCUUAGCUUCCUAAAUCUUUGCAACGUAGGCAUGCCUUGUCUCUUGUUAGAAGCAAGCAAUCUGGAAGCUCAGAAAGGUUAGGUAAAUUGUCCACGGCACACAGUGGCAGAACCAGGAAUGAUUCCAGCUCUAUGGUUCGCACCAGUCCAUGUUCCAUACAUUUCCAUCAGUCUGCCUUUAUUUUAGGACAUUGAGAGGCAAUACUUAUUAAAGGGUAGGGAAGUAACAUGUAUGGACCACCUCCCAACAUGCUGGGACUUUAAAUAUAUUGUCUUUAAUCAUUUACUUUUUUAUGACAACCCCCUGAGACAGAUGUGAUCACCAGGCCCAUAUUACACAUGAGGAAGCUUUAGAAGUCAGUAAUUCAAGGGGCAGAGCUGGGAUUCUUGUACAGUCAUAGUACAAACCACAGUUAAUGUGUAUAUAUACUUAACAGCUUACAGAGCACUUCAUUUUACUUCAGUUUACAAGAUCUUCAUUUCAGAACUAUCCCAUUUCACAGAUGAGUAUAGAGGUUCACUCAUGAAGUUAAGCCAUCUGUCCAAGGUCACCAAGCUAAUAGUAGGUAGUACAGCCUGCAAUUUUGAAAUAAACGCUAUUGGGCCAGAGUAACAAAGCUCACAUGUAUGGAAUACUUACUAUAUGUCCAGCAUGGUGCUACCUGAGUUAUAUAUACUGACUCCUAUAAUGCUCAAAACUGCCUUAGGAGGUAAGUACUAUUAUCUUUUCCAUUUUACAGAUGGGAAAACUGAGGUUAGAUGAAAUAACUUCCCAAAGUUACAGAAUGACUAAAUGGUAAUGCAAGGAUGCCAGAUGAAACAGUCUAGAGUCUCAGGGUGGGAACCAGGCACCUGGGUUGUGUCCCCACUUCUGUCUACAGCCAUAUUUUCAAGGAUCUCGGUUUCUUUGUCAUACCACCAUUACUUCUUCCUCUAACCUCUGUGUGUGGCAGGCCCACACAGUGCUCUAUAAAACCAGUCAGGAAUACUGCUAGCUUUGCCUCACGGGGACCCUGGGAGGAUUAAUAAGUUAAUGGCACUUAGAAUGCUACAGCAAAGACACUGGAUAAACUCAGGGAACUUACUAUGUGUGAAACUCACUGCCAAGGGCAGUUCACACUGUAAUAAAGGCACCUGCAGCCCGAUUCCUCAUCUAUUUGAGGUGUGUAGUCUUUCUUGGGAAACCCUUUGGAUGAGGUUAUUCAUGUCAGGAGUUAAAGCAUUUCCCUGCUGUCCCAGGGUGCUGAGAGGGGUGUGGGGAGUGAGUGGGGAGUGUCUCAGGCCUUUGGCUCUCAGAGGGGGGUGUUUCCAACAUCUUGGAAAGGAUUCUAACUUACUCUGAGGGACACCAGUUAUUGACUGGAGUCUAGAGCCUAGCUAGUAUCAUGCUUAUUUGGGCUUUAGAAGCAGACACUUGGGCUGAAUCCUGCUUCUGUCACUUCAUCUGGGCAACCAAUCCCUUUUAAAAUAAAGAUAAUACCUUCCUCAUAAGGUUCUUUUGAAGCAUAAACUUGAUAAUAUAUUUAAAAACACCU